rnacentral:lncRNA from 1 species
AGACGGUAUCCAUUGUGAAAGUAUGUCAGCAAGCCUCUGCAAUAUAUUCAUAUUGAUUGUGUGAGACCAAGCACAUGGAACUAUUUGUCAAACAGCAUAAACUUCAUAUCAUGCUUUUGCUGUAUGGAAAGAAUUAUCCUAAACUUUAUUUAGAUUUAGGCAUGUGCAUGAGUCCAUGACAUAGCAAUGAUGUGCUUUUCGGUAGAUGCCUCCC